rnacentral:rRNA from 1 species
GAUGAACGCUGGCGGCGUGCCUAAUACAUGCAAGUCGAGCGAACAGACGAGGAGCUUGCUCCUCUGACGUUAGCGGCGGACGGGUGAGUAACACGUGGAUAACCUACCUAUAAGACUGGGAUAACUUCGUGAAACCGGAGCUAAUACCGGAUAAUAUAUUGAACCGCAUGGUUCAAUAGUGAAAGACGGUUUUGCUGUCACUUAUAGAUGGAUCCGCGCCGCAUUAGCUAGUUGGUAAGGUAACGGCUUACCAAGGCAACGAUGCGUAGCCGACCUGAGAGGGUGAUCGGCCACACUGGAACUGAGACACGGUCCAGACUCCUACGGGAGGCAGCAGUAGGGAAUCUUCCGCAAUGGGCGAAAGCCUGACGGAGCAACGCCGCGUGAGUGAUGAAGGUCUUCGGAUCGUAAAACUCUGUUAUUAGGGAAGAACAAAUGUGUAAGUAACUAUGCACGUCUUGACGGUACUUAAUCAGAAAGCCACGGCUAACUACGUG